rnacentral:rRNA from 1 species
AACGAACGCUGGCGGCAGGCUUAACACAUGCAAGUCGAACGCAUCCUUCGGGGUGAGUGGCAGACGGGUGAGUAACGCGUGGGAACGUGCCCUUCAGUUCGGGAUAACCCAGGGAAACUUGGGCUAAUACCGGAUACGUGCGAGAGCAGAAAGAUUUAUCGCUGAAGGAUCGGCCCGCGUCUGAUUAGCUAGUUGGUGGGGUAAUGGCCCACCAAGGCGACGAUCAGUAGCUGGUCUGGGAGGAUGACCAGCCACAUUGAGACUGAGACACGGCCCGAACUCCUGCGGGAGGCAGCAGUGGGGAAUAUUGGACAAUGUGCGCAAGCCUGAUCCAGCCAUGCCGCGUGAGUGAUGAAGGCCUUAGGGUUGUAAAGCUCUUUCGUCCGGGAAGAUAAUGACGGUACCGGAAGAAGAAGCCCCGGCUAACUUCGUGCCAGCCGCCGCGGUAA